rnacentral:rRNA from 1 species
AGAGUUUGAUCAUGGCUCAGAUUGAACGCUGGCGGCAGGCUUAACACAUGCAAGUCGAGCGGAGAUGAGGUGCUUGCACCUUAUCUUAGCGGCGGACGGGUGAGUAAUGCUUAGGAAUCUGCCUAUUAGUGGGGGACAACAUUUCGAAAGGAAUGCUAAUACCGCAUACGCCCUACGGGGGAAAGCAGGGGACCUUCGGGCCUUGCGCUAUCAGAUGAGCCUAGGUCGGAUUAGCUAGUUGGUGAGGUAACGGCUCACCAAGGCGACGAUCCGUAACUGGUCUGAGAGGAUGAUCAGUCACACUGGAACUGAGACACGGUCCAGACUCCUACGGGACGCAGCAG